GAUUUGAUCAUCAAACCAAUUGUGUGCUGGGGACAAGAGUUCAUACGUGAACGUCCACUACAGGCCAAGCACUGGAAGGAGCUGAAGUCUAGGCUGGAGAUUUCAAUAAGCAAACUGCCAGACUCUGGGAGGGAACCUGCCCUGCUUUGUCGCUCAUCUCUCUGGAGAAAACUGAAGACAGGAGCUUGGCCUCAAGGAGACAGGUCCCCAAACUGCAGAGCCAGGGUAUCCACACCGCACUGAGGAGCCACAGGGGGAGGAAAAAGAGCUCCUGCUCUGAAAGCUGCCAUGGGAGUCUGGGACCCACUCCCAGAGGGAAGCUUUCUAGAACAGGGACACGAGAUGGACGGAAAUCAGUUACACGCACCAUGGAAACUGGGCAGAUAAAUC